UACGGAGGGUGCAAGCGUUAUCCGGAUUCACUGGGUUUAAAGGGUGCGUAGGCGGGCAGGUAAGUCCGUGGUGAAAUCUCUGAGCUUAACUCAGAAACUGCCAUGGAUACUAUUUGUCUUGAAUAUUGUGGAGGUAAGCGGAAUAUGUCAUGUAGCGGUGAAAUGCUCAGAUAUGACAUAGAACACCAAUUGCGAAGGCAGCUUACUACACAGUUAUUGACGCUGAGGCACGAAAGCGUGGGGAUCAAACAGG
rnacentral:rRNA from 1 species